CUGUGGCUGUCCGUGUUUUACUGACCAACUGAGAAUGUUCCAGGGGUCGAACAGCUCUUCCUGUUUUAACUGUCAAUCGAAAUACACAGUGCAAAGGCCACAGGUUGAGUCAGAGGGUGGACAAAGAAGCUGCCCAACUCAAGGCCUGGGACAGGAAAGCUGGGGCAGAGCGUGAGCCCACGGCUCCCUGGCAGACCCAGCAGAGCAGCCCACCCACGACCCUGUAUUAAUUGUACUCCUACUAUGUGACAGGCACUGUGCCUGGGGACACAAGGCGAGGAAGCCAGACAAAGCCACAGCCCUGGGAGAUGACAUACACAUGUCUUAUGCAGAGGAGGACAAGUUCAUCAAGGAAGUGACCAUCUUCGCUAACGGGAUGGCCGGUCUCGGGUGAUUCCUGAGCCUGCACAGCCAGCAAACGAGAUGCCAAACGGCUCUUCUUUACUAUCGCAUGGUUGGGUUUAAUUCCUGGCUUAUGGAUUUUCCAACAGAUGCAGCUUCUUGCAUAGACAGUUCCAUGAUUUCCAAAACUACCUUUGUAAUUUCUAGGGAUGUCUCUGCUAAUCCCAAGGGGUGCUAUGAAAUUCUUAGGGAAAGAAACACAACAGCACCUCUGUUUAAAUGUCACCCUUUGCAAUGGUAGUAUGUGUAUAAUGAUAUUAGCUACCAUUUGUGGAGUCUUUCUUUUACAGUUUUAUUUGCUUUUAUAGUUGCAGAAAUCCAAAAAGUUGAUAUUUGCAAUAACUCUAUUUUGUGAUGAGGAUGCUGAGGGGUACAGAGAGGUUAAGGAAGGAGCCUGAGGUGGUACAGCCCACGGCAGAGCUAGGAAGCCAGUCAGUGCUGCCAGCCUGCAUGUGCUCAGUGCUUUACUCUGCAUGUUGAUAAAACUCGUAUGUGCUCCUGAAUGCUGUCUGAGUGAGUCCAUGCAUGUCUUGUGAUGAUAUCUAUUAAAAUGCCAGGCUUAAAAACAUGGCAGUUACAGUCUCCUUUGUCCCUGAGGUUUCACUGUCUCUUUGCCUCCUUGAGGAUUUAGUCCCCAAGACAGACCUCAUCACAUGUGGGUGCUCCA